UCCAUUUUUGUCCCCCAAGGUACAAUCAACACAAAAGUACCCCAUAGGGCUCAUUAUUGGACCUCAAGGUACAUGUAUGUACCUUUUUGAGGGUCAAAAAGGUACAUAUUUGUUCCCAAGCAUUAAAAGGUACAUAUUUGUACCAUUUCUUUUAAAGGAUAAGGUACAAUGUUAAGAGACAGCCUCUUGCCAUUUUUUUUUAUUUGUUGUUCUAGACAACUGCUGUAAAUCUGGUCAGUAACGUAAAUAACUAUUGUGUCAAUUUUUGUUUCCUUUAGUUGGACACAUGGGUAUUGAAGUAGUAUUAGUUUUCUUCUGUUCAUUGACAGUGUGUUUAAUUUUAAAUUUUAAUUUAAAAUUUUAAUGAAAAAAAAGUUAAUUUCACUUAAUAAAAACUGUGAUAUGAACUCAAAAACUGCAAUUGAUUAACCAUUAUUUAAACUGAAUAAAUACUGAAUAACUGAAUCCCUCACACACACCGAAAAAAAACCCGCGCUUUUAUUUUGACACGCGCCCAUCCCCCCACAUCUCACGGUCAGAGUCAGUUUCACAGAGCAGCUCAGGAGGACGACAGACACAUAAAGAACAUUAACAGUUUAGGGCAAACGUUUCCCGCGCAAGUUUGAAUCUCUCUCAGUCAGUCAGGGGGAGAUUAACUGACUGACUGUCUACACGCCACCAAACAGUCAGUUAUACAGAAACCUUUUUAAGUUUAGUUUGAAUCUCUCUCAGUCAGUCAGGGGGAGAUUAACUGACAGACUGUAUAACGUUACAGGACACCAAACAGUCUUACCAUAAAACCUUUUACAGUUUAGCACAAAUGUUUCCCGUUGAAGUUUGAAUCUCUCUCAGUCAGGGGGAGAUUGACUGACAGACGGUCUACUUGCCACCCAAACAGUAAUUUACCCUGAAACCUUUUACAGUUUAGCGCAAACGUUUCCUGCGCAAGUUUGAAUCUCUCAGUCAGGGGGGAGAUUGACUGACUGACUGACUGUCUACUCGCCACCAAACAGUCAGUUACACAGAGGUGACAAGUAAGGACUAACGUUAACUGACUGUCUGUAUGUCUGUCUGUCUGCUCUCAACCAAACAGUCAUUCAAGACCUUUUAAAGUUUAGUGCAAACGUUUCCAGCGCAAGUUUGAAUCUCUCUCAGUCAGGGGGGAGAUUGACUGACAGACUGUCUACUCCCCACCAAACAGUAAUCUACACAGAAACCUUUUAAAGUUUAGCACAAACGUUUCCCGCGCAAGUUUGGAUCUUAACCAUUGAGGGUGGCUGACUGUUCUCGACCAACUAUCAUUCACACGCAAAAACUUUAAAGAUAAGUAUGAACGUGCCCAGAGCAGUUUUCGAUCUUUACCAUUAAGGAGGCUGACUGACUAUCCUCUACCACCCGUCAUUAACACAAGAAAAACUAAAGAAAUGUUACUCCAUAUGGACCUGUUCAUUUACUCAUUAUGCUGUGAG